CCAUGACUGACAGGGGGGAAGAUCUAGUUAGAAUAAGAAAAAUUCAUUAUCUUCAUUUCUAAUGCUCUCCUUUUUGUUUUUAUCAUCUCUCUCACUCUUGUACUCGAUUAUUUUUAGAGUUGUUAUCAGGCGAUGGAACUUGCAAAAACACAUAUAUUUCAAUUUUAUUAAAUGGGAUUGAAAUCAGCUACGCGAUUGGUUAAAUUACGAAAUAUUUGCCGCGAACCGUCGCAGAAAUCUAAUGUGAUGCUUCUGCUCAGCGUUAUAUUACGUCAUUGGUGCUUCAUGCAGUAGCUUUCGCAAAUCUGUUCAUACUGUUCAUUACUACGUUUACCAGGUUGUUUUGGGUGUGGCGAUAUCUCUUACGAUUAAAUUCAAUUUACUGAAUUUAUUUUCCAUGUAAUUAGCUUUAUUUUAUUGCAAAUAACUACCUCGGGUUAGCAUUUUUCUGUUAAAUGAGUUAAAGGUGUUAAAUUCAUACAGGCUGGUUUGUGAAGUGAAUUAUCUAAUAAUCAAAUUGUUUUAAAAGUGACGACUCUCCGCCAUUUUAAAAUUUCAUUAUUUUACUUAAUUUUGGGUGCUUGUUUUUAUUUUGUGUCAUAUUUUAUUUAUUUAAUGCAUUUUCCAGUUUCAAAACAUGCACGUUUUAAGCUAAAUUAACUAAGUAUGUCUAAAUACCUUUUCAUUUUAUAGGAACAUCAUAAAAACUCCAGAUGUAAUGUGUUACAGAGUAUUCCUCAUAUUAGUCCUUUUUCAUUCCAUGAUAUAGCAUACAUAAAAGGCCCAUGUAAAUGAUUUUUUCAACUGGAAACAGAUACAGUGUGCUACUCUUGCAAACAACUAAAUGACUUGCUUAGAGACGACAUCCUUGGAUUAUAUGGGCGCACUACUUUGAUUUAUUUUUAUUUCCAAAAAUGCUUCUGAUGUGCAGGUUUCUAUGAAAACAUAAUAAACACAGCAAUCGAAAUGUGGAGAAACACAGCCCCACUCACACUUCGCUCUCUUGGACUUGGAAUGGAGUCAUUUGCGGAAAAGGUUAUCAUUUAAACUUAUUAAAUGAACAAGGAGACAAAAAAUGAGAAGGAUUCAAAAUGUGGAGAAGUGGAGCCCUGUUAGUGUUCCAUCCUUUUAGACUUACAAAGUGCAAUUUCAACAAACAAAGUCCAAUACAUAUUGGUGUACUUAGGAAUAAAAGUUGAGCAUCGUACAGUUAUCCUCGGUAUCGUCUAAAUGAUGAGAAAGAGAGAAUUAAAGUUCACAUUGAUGGUACUGAAACAGCCAAGGUCUUGUUUUGAUUUGGUGUUUUCGUCUUCAUCUUGCAACAUUAUGCAUUUAAUUUUCAACAGUUGAGUGAGAGGAAAAGGAGAUUCCACUGAAACAAGUUUUCUGCUAUGAUAUUCCUUCUGGAUUUAGUUUGCUUUUCACACAUGCAAACUUGGGAACGUUUACAGUAGUCUACUGUUUGCUAAGGUGAGAGUAUUUAAUAUAAUCAGUAUUAAUUGCUCUUUAUUAAUCUGUUACCACUGUAUCUGUUUCAGAUCGACGCUGGAGAAGAAAAAGAAGACCCCGUAGUUAAAAUAGUUCUUUUGUCUUGCAUGCUCCACCUAAUAGAAAUAAUUCUUUUAAUCCAAAUUCAGAUUAAUUUUUUAUUUUGCGUGUUUUUUUUGUAGUUAAUUUGAAUUA